rnacentral:lncRNA from 1 species
GAGCACUUAUGAGAAAGAAAAUUGACAUCGGAGAAAGGGAUACACAGAACCCCACAGCGGGAGGGGAUGGAGGCAAUCCAGGAGGUCAACAUGGAGAGGAGUGGUUUCCAGUGGAGGGUAGGAAGGUGGUUAAAGCUCAACCUAGGAGAAGGCUGGGCAGCUCAGCCAAGGUGGUCAUUUGCGUGGUUCCAAUCAGAUAAAGGAGCACAGAAGAACUCUCAGGGAGGCACACUGAGCUACGUGGUCAGCCUCCAAUCUCCUUUGAGCAAGGGAUGGCCAAGUUUGGAAUGAGUUUAGCAACAUGAAUCCUACACGAGCUAGGAGUGAAUCCAGAAGCAGAGAGGAGGGUCACUCUUGGACACAGGACCUCAAAUUAUCCUGUUCAAAUGACCCAAGGGAGUACAGAAACACCUUGGAGGGUCUCCUAAAUUCACCUGUUCAUAGAUACAAAACGCUUAUCACUGAAACAUACUCUAAACCACUAGCUGUUAAUUCCUCAGGACAUAAUAAAUUUUUUUUAAUUGUGC